GACGAACGCUGGCGGCGUGCCUAAUACAUGCAAGUAGAACGCAGUUGCGAACGGGUGAGUAACGCGUAGGUAACUGCCUCAUAGCGGGGGAUAACUAUUGGAAACGAUAGCUAAUACCGCAUACUUUGAGAUUGACCUGCGUUGUAUUAGCUAGUUGGUGAGGUAAAGGCUCAACAAGGCGACGAUACAUAGCCGACCUGGGAGGGCGACCGGCGAUACUGGGAGUGAGAAACGGCCCAGACUCGUACGGGAGGCAGAAGUAGGGAAUCAUCGGAAAUGGAAGGAAGUCUGACCGAGCAAAGCCGCGUGAGUGAAGAAGGUUUUCGGAUCGUAAAGCUCUGUUGUUAGAGAAGGGGUAAAUAACCAGAAAGGGACGGCUAACUACGUGCCAGCAGCCGCGGUAAUAC
rnacentral:rRNA from 1 species